AUUGAACGAUGGUGGCAGGCCUAACACAUGCAAGUCGAGCGAGCGGCGGACGGGUGAGUAAUGUCUGGGAAACUGCCUGAUGGAGGGGGAUAACUACUGGAAACGGUAGCUAAUACCGCAUACCAUCAGAUGUGCCCAGAUGGGAUUAGCUAGUAGGUGGGGUAACGGCUCACCUAGGCGACGAUCCCUAGCUUGUCUGAGAGGCUGACCAGGCCCAUUGGGACUGAGACACGGUCCAGACGCCUAAGGGAGGCAGCAGGGGGGAAUAGGGCACAAUGGGCGCAAGCCUGAUGGAGCCAGGCCGCGUGGGUGAAGAAGGCCUUCGGGUUGUAAAGCACUUUCAGCGGGGAGGCGUUACCCGCAGAAGAAGCACCGGCUAACUCCGUGCCAGCAGCCGCGGUAAUAC
rnacentral:rRNA from 1 species